GGGCUGCCUUACCAUGCAAGUCGAACGGCAGCACGGGAGCAAUCCUGGUGGCGAGUGGCGAACGGGUGAGUAAUAUAUCGGAACGUGCCCAGUAAUGGGGGAUAGCCCGGCGAAAGCCGGAUUAAUACCGCAUACGACCUACGGGUGAAAGCGGGGGAUCGCAAGACCUCGCGUUAUUGGAGCGGCCGAUAUCAAAUUAGCUUGUUGGCGGGGUAAAAGCCCACCAAGGCGACGAUCUGUAGCUGGUCUGAGAGGACGACCAGCCACACUGGGACUGAGACACGGCCCAAACUCCUACGGGAGGCAGCAGUGGGGAAUUUUGGACAAUGGGCGCAAGCCUGAUCCAGCCAUGCCGCGUGUGGGAAGAAGGCCUUCGGGUUGUAAACCACUUUUGUCAGGGAAGAAACGGCUCUUACUAAUAUUAGGAGCUAAUGACGGUACCUGAAGAAUAAGCACCGGCUAACUACGUGCCAGCAGCCGCGGUAAUACGUAGGGUGCAAGCGUUAAUCGGAAUUACUGGGCGUAAAGCGUGCGCAGGCGGCUUUGCAAGACAGAUGUGAAAUCCCCGGGCUCAACCUGGGAACUGCAUUUGUGACUGCAUGGCUAGAGUACGGUAGAGGGGGAUGGAAUUCCGCGUGUAGCAGUGAAAUGCGUAGAUAUGCGGAGGAACACCGAUGGCGAAGGCAAUCCCCUGGACCUGUACUGACGCUCAUGCACGAAAGCGUGGGGAGCAAACAGGAUUAGAUACCCUGAUAGUCCACGCCCUAAACGAUGUCAACU
rnacentral:rRNA from 1 species